rnacentral:rRNA from 1 species
CAGCAGCCGCGGGAAUACGAAGGGGGCUAGCGUUGCUCGGAAUGACUGGGCGUAAAGGGCGCGUAGGCGGCCGAUUAAGUCGGGGGUGAAAGCCUGUGGCUCAACCACAGAAUUGCCUUCGAUACUGGUUGGCUUGAGACCGGAAGAGGACAGCGGAACUGCGAGUGUAGAGGUGAAAUUCGUAGAUAUUCGCAAGAACACCAGUGGCGAAGGCGGCUGUCUGGUCCGGUUCUGACGCUGGGCGCGAAAGCGUGGGGAGCAAACAGGAUUAGAUACCCCAGUAGUCCCUGUCUCUUAUACA